rnacentral:rRNA from 1 species
AUGCCAGCCGCCGCGGUAAUACAGGCAGCCCGAGUGAUGGCCGAUCUUAUUGGGCCUAAAGCGUCCGUAGCUGGCUGCGCAAGUCCGUCGGGAAAUCCACUCGCUCAACGAGUGGGCGUCCGACGGAAACUGCACAGCUUGGGACCGGAAGGCUCGAAGGGUACGUUCGGGGUAGGAGUGAAAUCCCAUAAUCCCGCACGGACCACCGAUGGCGAAAGCACUUCGAGAAAACGGAUCCGACAGUGAGGGACGAAAGCUAAGAUCGCGAACCGGAUUAGAAACCCGGGUAGUCC